AACAAUUGAAUCAGCUCUGCCCUCAAUUAAAUAUUCUAAAACAAUCGAGAAAGAAAAGCUGUUUUGUUGGAGGUGGCCACCUGUGUAUUAAGAAUCUAAAAACUCGAACAUUGCCUUGAUCGACGAAUACCGUCCGGACGAUGCUGUUGUUGCUGGUUCGAACGACGCUGUUGAGCCUGGCCUUGUUGAUGAUAGACCUAGGGUUUAUGGGGAGCCCAAGAGGGUCGACUAUAUGGUGUUGAUUAGAUCGAGCGAGCGACCACUAAAGCUGAGAUCAAAGAUAAAAACAGUCACGGAUAGACCUAGGGUUUAUGGGGAGCCCAAGAGAUUAUGUUUGAGCUGACUCACCGAGUCACGGAUUCCACAUUGUCGUUCAAAGCUGAUGACCUGACCUGAUCAAAAAGCAAAAAAGUCUUUCCCUUUGGAAUUGGAAUCCACACCAUCUCCCUUUCUUCCCUUCAAUUCCACUCAAUUCCCAAUAAUUGUUCUGAAUUUUCAGUUAGGGUUUUCGAUUGAUUCUAAUUGAUUUUAAAAUAAUAAAGAAAUUAAGAUAAUAAGAUAAGGGAAGAUGUGGGCUGCUUCGUGCCUGGUCUCAUGUUGCGCUGCUUGCGCCUGUGACGCUUGCCGUACGGUGGUCUCAGGGAUCAGCCGCCGCUCUGCCAGGAUUGCUUAUUGUGGUCUUUUCGCCCUCUCUCUCAUCGUCUCAUGGAUGCUUCGCGAGGUCGCUGCUCCUCUAAUGGAGAAAAUCCCAUGGAUUAAUACCUUUCAUCACACUCCAAGCAGGGAGUGGUUUGAAACAGAUGCAGUGUUGCGUGUUAGUUUGGGAAAUUUUCUCUUCUUCACCAUCUUCGCUGUUAUGAUGGUUGGUGUGAAAACUCAGAGAGAUCCCCGUGAUGGUUUGCACCAUGGUGGAUGGAUGAUGAAAAUUAUAUGCUGGUGCCUUUUGGUCAUCUUUAUGUUUUUCUUACCAAAUGAGAUUAUUAACUUUUAUGGUAAGUCCUAUGUUUGUGUGUUUGUUUUCUUCAGGGGUUUGUUGUAUCCCACAAAAUCUUAAAACCUUAACUGGCUGUGUUAAGAUUGACCGGAUCCUGGUCACUUGAUAUUUAUUUUCCUUUUAUGCAAAAUGCUUUGGUAAAUUGCACUUUAUUAUCAUACUUAGAGAAUAAGAUGCAUGCUAAUAACAGUUAAUUUUUCUUAUUUUAUGACAUUAUUUUAUACUAUCAAAUAUUUCUUGGCGGCGGAUUAAAUAGUCAAUCUGUUUAGUUAUCAAGAUCCGUAAUAAAACAACUUUCUGGCUGCCUUUACUGUUUUUUUUUUUUUUGAGACUCUUUACUGUGCAGCAUGGAUGAACGAUAGUAGUGUGUUGGUUUUGCUUUUCAUUUUCUUAACCCCCAAAUUAAAGGACCGUGAAGCUUUGUUGGAAAGCCACAAAGAUGGGUAUCGAAUCUAAUCGCAGCAGAGGAAAGAUGGGUUGGUGGCUAAGAGUCGGCUUAUGACCGCCGACGACAGAGGUAUGGGUGGCUACGACGAUGAAAUGGGUUAUGACCCUAACCCGAAACCGAAGAUGCAUAUGAAAUGGCUACGACACGUACGUUUAUUCCUUACCAAGCAAUUACAACCUAAUUUUUUUUUUUGAAGGAACAAUAGUUCAGCAAUUACAACCUAAUUAAAUAAAUAAAUUUAUGUGUAUAAAAUGAAGAAAAGUCAUAUAUCUAUUCUAUAUAAAGUGUGCCUAUAUAACUGAAUUCUUGGUUUAUGAGAAAUUGUGACUUUUUUUUUUAAAUAAUAAAAACUAUUAUUAUUAUUUUAACAGAAGUUACAUCUUACGUUAAGUUUAAAAAAUAAAUUAAACUUGUAAAACCCUAUGAUUAUGAAAUUCUCUCUGAAAUUCUCUGUUAAGGUUUUGUUUUCUUUAUGCAAUUUCUGCUUAAUUUUCUAUAGAUAAUUGAUUCGACUUGCCGUAAUCCAUCUAAGGUACUUACUAUCUUGAUUCUUAUCAUUUUCUUUCUACGAUGUGUGCAUAUUUAUUCAUUCUUUUGGAUAGUUAUUGAUGUCGAAAUUUUGAAUGUAGUGAAUAUAAUUUGAUUACUGCCACACAUUCUAAUUAGGUCUAAUUAGGCUGUAGUAGAAACUUUAAUGAUUAUUAUUAUCAUGUUUCAACUAUACAUGACUUUCUCAAUCUGGCCUAUGAUGUGGAGAGGUGUGUUGUACCUUUGUUUUAUUGGUUUUAUAGUUUUCCAUAGUUAGUUCAAUAAUAUUCCUAUUUGGGACACCAUCUGUUUCCCCUGUAUUUCUAUGUUUUGUUUUGAAGACUUAUUCUCAUUGUUCUUUCUUAAUUAGUGUUGCUUUGUAUUCUUCUAAUGCCAAAUUAUGUUGUGCUGGAUGUAUUUGCUGGUAAAGGUGGACAAAAAAUAAGAGUAUUAAAGAAUCACCACUUUUAUUAAAGAAUCAACUGUAAAAACCACCACAGCAAUAGAAAUGUAUGUGCUUUAUUUAUUUCCUGCCUGUAAUAAUCUUGUUACUAUGCUGGACACAAUUGGUUCAUUCAUUAUUUAGAGACCAAAGGAGGACACUUUACGAUAAUUGAAUUAUUUCUUGGACUCUCUUAUUUUAUUUUUCUUGCAGAAUUGGAAGUAGUAAAAUUGAAGGAUAGUCUCUUGCUCAUGCUUCAAAGGUCUCUCUUCGUCCUACAGAUUGCGGGGAUUGUACAAAGGCUCAACGGAGCUGCAGUGGGCAUAACGGUUAAAAGAACAUAAUUUUUAGUUUUUGGACGUAUAUAAUCUUUUUUAUUAAUAUUUUUAAUUAUCAAUAUUUUAGUCAACCCAUUUUCUCCUCUAUUUCUGUCUCUCUAAAUCUGUACCAAUAAAAUUAUUACUGUUUUUGUUUUCAGAUUUCUCAUACCUCUACACUUCUUGAUUGGGGGAAGGGGGUCAUAGGUGAGAGGCUGACACUUUAACAGUCCUAACCUCUCUCCAUUGUAAUUUACUUAGAAAUAGGAGUACCAUACUUUGAAUAGCAUUGAAAAAUUGGGACUCUUUUUCAUUUAUCAAUUACAGUAGCUGUGUGUGAAACUAUGGCUCCUGUGAAGCUAAUACAAAAUAUGACAUAACAACUAUUCAGUUUGCCAUU